UGUCUUAACUAAAGUUCUAGCUUCUGGAUAGUUCAGCAACAUCGCUCUGCUAGGGUUUCUUUGCCUUUCUUCAACAUCUCACUUACUUAGUUGUCUCUUUGAUUGUGCAGUACAUGUCGUUAGCCAUGAGUUUCCACCCCAUCCCCCAAGUACUCAGUGCCAGUUCCUUCUUCUCUUUCUUCAGGCAACCAUUACCCAUGUGGCUUGGGGUUUCAACUCGUGAUCCUCUCUCCACCAUUAAUGCCAGCGUUAUUAGUUGAUUAAAAGACAGGAGGGAUUUGACAGGGAAUAUGAUUGUGCAAGCUUCUGAUGGAGCAACCAACCGAUAUUGAAUCUCCUAGUGUUAUACGUGGUCGUAUGAAAUCACGUGCGCUUAAGAGAGUUGUUCCAAUGCCCAUACCAUUUCAGUUUGAAGUUCCCAAAGGCUCUGAAGUUGAACAACCUGCAGUUGAAGAUGCAAUUGCUGCCUCAAAUGAAGAACAAGUUCAAGCAGACUUUGUAGUUGAACCACCUAUUGAAGCUGUUGAAAAUACAGUUGCUACCUCAAAUGAAGAACACAUUCCUCAGCCAUUUGAACCUGUGGUUUGUACAUGAAGCACAAAUAUGCUGCCCGAAGGGCUCAUAAAAUGCCAAAUGAGACCGUUGAAGCCAAUGUUGAGCAGUUGUCAAGUCCAACUGAUGAUAGCGACUUGGAUUGGGAAAAGGGAGGCUUGAGAGUUCAACAAAUUAUGAAAACAACUCUAAUUUUACAAAGGAAUGUGAUGAAUCUGAGACAUAGGCUUUUUAUGGGGCUUCUAUGAUAGUGAUGAGGAUGGUCACAUGGGUUGCAAGAGAGUACACAGAUAAAAAAUGGUUGUUGAUCCAAACUCAAAAAUGCCUAUAUUAAAAAUUGGAGAUAUUUACCAGAAUGGGAAGAUAGUGCUUCAAUUGUGGCAAAGAUUUAGGGACCACAAGCACUUUUGGGAUGUGUUGAAAUAUUACACUAUUGAAGAAGGUUUUGAGCCGCGUAAAGUGAAGCAUGCUAGAAGCAGAGUCACAACACUUUAUUGAGCAAAAUGAUUCACUUGGAGGAUCUGUGCUUCCUUAUCUCCUGAUGGAAGACACUUUAUCAUCAAAUCAUUGAACCAGGAGCACAAAUGCCAAUGUAUAGUGAAGAAUAUGACAGGAACCUCUAGCUGGAUUGCAUAGAAGCUUCACAAUAGUUUUGCUACAACGCCUAAUCUGAGUUUGCAAAAAAUGAGGGCUAAGUUGAAAGAAAACUUCGGCAUCGAGGCAACUAACAUACAGUUAUGGAAAGCGAUACGGAAGGCAAGAGGAGAUGUUGGUGGUGGUUAUGUACACUCCUAUGCAAAUUUAUGGAGAUAUGCUGCUAUGAUUCAUAGGUCUGGCCCUGGAAGUGCUACUAUUGUACAAAGCCAACUUGUGACAGUCAAUAUAGAUGAUGGUGAGAUUGUAGAAGCCCCAAGAAUGCAGCCACAGUUCAAGAGAAUUUUCAUAUGUUAGGAAGGGGUCAAAAGUGGGUUCUUAGUUGGAUGUCGACUAUUUUCUGGAUUAGAUGGAUGUCAUCUAAAAGGGCCAUACGAAGGCAUCUUCUUGGCUGUUGCGGGGUUGAUGCAAACCUCCACUUCUACCCCCUUGCUUAUGCAAUUAUUGAAGCUGAAAACACAGAUAAUUGGAGUUGGUUUUUGGAGUUAUUGAGGGGAGAAUUUGGGGACAGUACCAGUGGCCAGCCAUGGUGCAUCAUGAGUGAUAGACAAAAGGGACUGAUUGAGGCCGUGGCUGCUAUACCAAAGGCAGAACACCGGUGAUGUUGUUUUCACAUUGAGAACAACAUGAUAAAAAAGUUUGGAACAUCACAACUAAGGAUUCUGUUUGUGGUAGCAGCUGAGACAACGAAUUUUGACACUUUCAAGCUCAUUAUGGACAUGAUAAAAGAAUUCAACUCAGAGGCACACGAGUGGUUAUCAAAUAUUGACUUCAACCAUUGGAAUUUGAGCAAGUUUGACACUAGAGCGAAAGUAGAACACAUUAUCAACAAUUUCGUUGAGUCAUUCAAUGAUUGGAUAGAGGAGCAUCGAUACAAGCCGCGAAUUGGACUAUUGGAAGGGAUAAGAAUGCAACAAUCAACUAUGAUGUAUGCUAGGAAAAAUACUAUAGAAAGAUGGGAGCACAAGCUCACUCCAAAGGUCCAACAAAAGGUACGUGAACUACUCAAGAUAGGUCAACUUGCACACGUAACAAGGGUUGGUGAAGAAGAAUUUCAGGUUGAUUGUGACAAGAAAAGUUGUACUGUUAGAUUAAAUGAAUGGUACUACAUUUGUGGGCAAUGACAGGUGAGAGGAAUAUCGUGUAUUCACAUUGCUGCUUGUAUAAGCAAAAUUAGGGCCAACAUAGAAGAUUAUUGCUCACCAUACUCCACCACUGAAAUGCGGAGGAAGAGUUUUCUGGGUGUAAUUCAUCCCAUAGCUAAUGAAUCUAUGUGGCCUGAGUUUGGUGAUGAAGAAUUAUUGUCUCCUGUCAUAAAGGUGCAACCAGGAAGACCCAAAAAGCAUCGCAGAAGAAGAGUUCCUGGAGAUGAGAGACCAUUGCCAUUAGUGACAGAAAACCAACCAUAGAGGUGUGUUUUUAGCACCAAAAAGUGUAAGAAUUGUCACGAGUUUGGACAUAACAAAAGGACUUGCAAGAAUACGAGAAUCAUAUCAAAGAACCAACCAUCUGAAGGCUCUUCUUAAGCACAAGUACCACCACCAACAGGCAAGGGCCGGUGAAAUACAAGUGGUCGAGGCAAAAAAAAUGUACCAACAACAAAAAGCAAAGGUAGAGGCCGAGGGACAAUAAUUGGAACAUCUUCUGAGGUUCAAGUUAAGAGCUUAGAGCCAUCAGCUGAGGAGAUGCACUUGUCUGAAGCACCAUUAAAUCUUUUCUCAACUCACAAUAGUUAGUAGAACCACAACCACAACUUUUGAAGAACAUAUUUAUUUUGUCUUAGGUUAUAUAUGUCGAAUGUUGUUCAUUUUGUAUGGCAUAAACCAUAGAUUGUUGGUGACUAUUUUGAUGUAAUGUGCUGGCUUUAUUUUGUAAAGCAAAGACACACUUAGCCUUAUUUUAGGUUACUUACUUGAUGUCAUGCAACUCAAAUUAUGAUAGUUGGUUUGCUUAUUUAUUUUGAAACUUGACAGUUGUGGUUUUAUGAUGAAAUAUGCAAUUAAUUUCAUUUUGCAAUCUUA